rnacentral:rRNA from 1 species
UAGGGANUCUUCCACAAUGGGCGCAAGCCUGAUGGAGCAACACCGCGUGAGUGAAGAAGGGUUUCGGCUCGUAAAGCUCUGUUGUUAGAGAAGAACGUGCGUGAGAGCAACUGUUCACGCAGUGACGGUAUCUAACCAGAAAGUCACGGCUAACUACGUGCCAGCAGCCGCGGUAAUACGUAGGUGGCAAGCGUUAUCCGGAUUUAUUGGGCGUAAAGCGAGCGCAGGCGGUUUGAUAAGUCUGAUGUGAAAGCCUUUGGCUUAACCAAAGAAGUGCAUCGGAAACUGUCAGACUUGAGUGCAGAAGAGGACAGUGGAACUCCAUGUGUAGCGGUGGAAUGCGUAGAUAUAUGGAAGAACACCAGUGGCGAAGGCGGCUGUCUGGUCUGCAACUGACGCUGAGGCUCGAAAGCAUGGGUAGCGAACAGGAUUAGAUACCCUGGUAGUCCAUGCCGUAAACGAUGAGUGCUAGGUGUUGGAGGGUUUCCGCCCUUCAGUGCCGCAGCUAACGCAUUAAGCACUCCGCCUGGGGAGUACGACCGCAAGGUUG